UGUCCGAUCUGAACACUAUAUGAGCAUGAGAGUAAUAUGAUGUUUUAACAUCAUUACUCUCAUGUUCAUGUCGUGUUCGGUCGGACA